UACGUAGGGGGCGAGCGUUAUCCGGAAUUACUGGGCGUAAAGCGCACGCAGGCGGUUCGCCAAGUUUGGAGUGACAGUUGGCGGCUUAACCGACAAAGGACUUCAAAAACUGGUGAACUUGAGGACGAGAGAGGAACAUGGAACUCCAGGUGUAGUAGUGAAAUGCGUAGAUAUCUGGAAGAACACCAAUGGCGAAGGCAAUGUUCUGGCUCGUUUCUGACGCUCAGGUGCGAAAGCCAGGGGAGCGAACGGG
rnacentral:rRNA from 1 species